UUUAAUGUGGGAGCUGGCUUGCCUGCGAUAGCGGUGUAUCAGCCAACGCCGCUAUCGCAGGCAAGCCAGCUCCCACAGUGAU
rnacentral:misc_RNA from 1 species